GAUGAACGCUGGCGGCGUGCCUAAUACAUGCAAGUCGAGCGAACGGACGAGAAGCUUGCUUCUCUGAUGUUAGCGGCGGACGGGUGAGUAACACGUGGAUAACCUACCUAUAAGACUGGGAUAACUUCGGGAAACCGGAGCUAAUACUGGAUAAUAUUUUGAACCGCAUGGUUCAAAAGUGAAAGACGGUCUUGCUGUCACUUAUAGAUGGAUCCGCGCUGCAUUAGCUAGUUGGUAAGGUAACGGCUUACCAAGGCAACGAUGCAUAGCCGACCUGAGAGGGUGAUCGGCCACACUGGAACUGAGACACGGUCCAGACUCCUACGGGAGGCAGCAGUAGGGAAUCUUCCGCAAUGGGCGAAGGCCUGACGGAGCAACGCCGCGUGAGUGAUGAAGGUCUUCGGAUCGUAAAACUCUGUUAUUAGGGAAGAACAUAUGUGUAAGUAACUGUGCACAUCUUGACGGUACCUAAUCAGAAAGCCACGGCUAACUACGUG
rnacentral:rRNA from 1 species